GCGGUGGAUGAUGUGGUUUAAUUCGAUGCAACGCGAAAACCUACCCACCUUGACAUGUACGGAAUUGCCAGAGAUGGCUUAGUGCUCGAAAGAGAGCCGUAACACAGGUGCUGCAUGGCUGUCGUCAGCUCGUGUCGUGAGAUGUUGGGUUAAGUCCCGCAACGGGCGCAACCCUUGUCAUUAGUUGCUACGAAAGGGCACUCUAAUGAGACUGCCGGUGACAAACCGGAGGAAGGUGGGGAUGACGUCAAGUCCUCAUGGCCCUUAUAGGUGGGGCUACACACGUCAUACAAUGGCCGGUACAAAGGGUCGCAAACCCGCGAGGGGGAGCCAAUCCAUCAAAGCCGGUCGUAGUCCGGAUCGCAGUCUGCAACUCGACUGCGUGAAGUCGGAAUCGCUAGUAAUCGUGGAUCAGCAUGUCACGGUGAAUACGUUCCCGGGUCUU
rnacentral:rRNA from 1 species